UUAAUUGGGGGCUGGAAUGAAAGGUUUUAUGGAAAAUAGCUGUUUUAAAAUAAAUAAUUGAAUUUAAGUUUUGCAUAAAAACUUGCAAGCACUCUUAAGGGACGAGAAGACCCUGUGGAUUUUUAUUUGUUAGAAAGUAAAUUUUAUAAUAUUUUAUUUUUUGUUCAAAUUUGGUUGGGAUGACAGUAAAAUUAACUUUAUUAAAAAGAUAAUUUAGAUCCU
rnacentral:rRNA from 1 species